rnacentral:rRNA from 1 species
GACAGAGGAUGCAAGCGUUAUCCGGAAUGAUUGGGCGUAAAGCGUCUGUAGGUGGCUUUUUUAAGUCCGCCGUCAAAUCCCAGGGCUCAACCCUGGACAGGCGGUGGAAACUACCAAGCAGGAGUACGGUAGGGCAGAGGGAAUUUCCGGUGGAGCGGUGAAAUGCGUAGAGAUCGGAAGAACACCAACGGCGAAAGCACUCUGCUGGCCGACACUGACACUGAGAGACGAAGCUAGGAGCGAAUGG